CUACGGGGUGCAGCAGUGAGGAAUAUUGCGCAAUGGGGGAAACCCUGACGCAGCGACGCCGCGUGGAUGAUGAAGGCCUUAGGGUCGUAAAAUCCUGUCAGGUGGGAAGAAGUGGAUAUAGAUUAAUACUCUAUUUCUUUGACGGUACCACCAAAGGAAGCACCGGCUAACUCCGUGCCAGCAGCCGCGGUAAUACGGAGGGUGCAAACGUUGUUCGGAAUUACUGGGCGUAAAGCGCGCGUAGGCGGUUUGUUAAGUCAGAUGUGAAAGUCCAUGGCUGAACUAUGGAAGUGCAUUUGAAACUGGCAGACUUGAGUACUGGAGGGGGUGAUGGAAUUCCAGGUGUAGAGGUGAAAUUCGUAGAUAUCGGGAGGAAUACCGGUGGCGAAGGCGAUCACCUGGCCAGAUACUGACGCUGAGGUGCGAAAGCGUGGGGAGCAAACAGGAUUAGAUACCCCUGUAGUC
rnacentral:rRNA from 1 species